rnacentral:lncRNA from 1 species
CUCUGCCCUGCGCGGGGCCCCGCCGGCCCGAGGCGGGCGCGCCCAGGGCCUCCCGGAGGCUGGGCCUCCGUCUUUGUGAAGUUUCAAGAGAAGAGCCAGGAGCUACUCAGCAAUAAUUGCUUUUUGAAACGUACUCUUUCAGGGCGAAAGCAAAGAGCUGGUUUUCUGCGCUAGCCCAAUAAAUGCUAUUUAUGAAGAUGGACCUGUUGAACUACCAGUACUUGGACAAGAUGAACAACAAUAUCGGCAUUCUGUGCUAUGAAGGU